UGAGGAAUAUUGGUCAAUGGGCGAGAGCCUGAACCAGCCAAGUCGCGUGAAGGAUGAAGGUCUUAUGGAUUGUAAACUUCUUUUAUAAGGGAAUAAAAAAGAUCACGUGUGGUCUAUUGCAUGUACCUUAUGAAUAAGCAUCGGCUAACUCCGUGCCAGCAGCCGCGGUAAUACGGAGGAUGCGAGCGUUAUCCGGAUUUAUUGGGUUUAAAGGGUGCGUAGGCGGUUUGUUAAGUCAGUGGUGAAAGUUUUCGGCUCAACCGGAAAAUUGCCAUUGAAACUGACAGACUUGAGUGUAAACGAGGUAGGCGGAAUUCGUGGUGUAGCGGUGAAAUGCUUAGAUAUCACGAAGAACUCCAAUUGCGAAGGCAGCUUACUAGGCUACAACUGACGCUGAAGCACGAAAGCGUGGGGAUCAAACA
rnacentral:rRNA from 1 species